GGCGACGGUUGUUUCAUGUUUUCAAGCAACACGUUCAAAGAAUAACGGCCGUUUGAGUCUGAAAAGCCCUAUACGGAUUGACCAUGCAAUGCAUGCGUCCAGCAGGAUGCACAGCCAACAACUAUGGUUUGCAUGACCUGACGAAUGACCCUAUAAUGCAGAAUAGGUGGUUGGAGUUUGUUGGUCCCCAGUAGUGAUAAAGUGCACAGUUGGGUGCCAGACUGAUCCCCUGGUCAGGAACGGAUGCCGGGACCUACCAGGAGGAGCAGAACUUUUCAGGCAAGACCAAGGAAUACACGUUUGUCUUACGACACAAGUACCCUUGUGACACCUCCUCCGUUCUUGCCAAAGACUCCCUCGACUCCUAUGAAAAGCACACUCAACUCUGAUAGUGACCCGAGUUUUAUCGCCCUGAUGACAUUUAUUUUUGAGUUUUAGUGCGCAAUGGGACAAGGACAUCCCUGCCGGCCAAACCCUCCUCUAGCCCGAACAACAGCUAAACCUAGAUGACUUCAUCAACAACGAAGUCGCUUUGGAUAAGAGCGUCUGCUAAAUGACUUAAAUGUAAUGUAAAUGUAACGACAGGUAAUGUGUGUUAUGUGAAUAGUUGUAUUAAAAAAUACCAGGCUUGAUAAAAUAGUAGGCUAUUUCCCCAGGUUCCUAGAUUAGGUGUAAAUUUGACAAAUGUGGUUUAAUAUCAAUAUUAUUUGUCUACAUCUGUCAUGUAACUGUGAAUAAUGAUAAUGUAUAACUGUAAUAAUAUUGAUGUACUCUUAACAUCAGUUUACUAUUUAUUCUAGGAUUUUUUUCUUCAAGUGUCCAAACAAAUUAUACAAAAACAAAAAGAUCACAUUUUAUACACAUACUCCCAAUACAUGUAACCCAUAUUUCUAGACUUGUGUAUGACAUAUGAGGACUCAACAAUUAAUUGGAAACUUGACCCUGUCUUUCACCAAUAAGCUUUGUCAAUCUUGGGGGCAGUGUGGCAACAGCAGUGAUCAGGCUUUUUUCCCAAGUCGGGAAAGUUCCUGUGCUUGAUCUUGAUUAGGGCCAUGGAUGAAAAUGUCAC